UACGUAGGGGGCAAGCGUUGUCCGGAUUUAUUGGGCGUAAAGAGCGUGUAGGCGGCUUGGUAGGUCUCGCGUCAAAACCUGAGGCUCAACCUCAGUUCGCGUGGGAAACCACCUAGCUGGAGUCCGGAAGAGGAGAACGGAAUUCCCAGUGUAGCGGUGAAAUGCGCAGAUAUUGGGAAGAACACCAGUGGCGAAGGCGGUUCUCUGGGACGGUACUGACGCUGAGACGCGAAAGCGUGGGGAGCGAACAGG
rnacentral:rRNA from 1 species